rnacentral:lncRNA from 1 species
AGAUUUUUAUAAAUUCAGUUGCCUGGAUGCUGCUCCUGAAGGUUCCAGUUCAGUGGGUGUGUGGUAAGGCCUAUACUUUAGUAUUCUCAAAAAGCUUCACAGGUAGUUGUGACACACAGCUAAAAGCUGAGACAGGGUUUCACCAUAUUGGUCAGGCUAGUCUCGAACUCCUGACCUCGUGAUCUGCCCACCUUGGCCUCCCAAAGUGCUGGGAUUAUAGGCGUGAGCCACCGUGCCCAGCAUCACAGAUAUAUUUUUAUAUGUAAGAAGAUGGACCUCCAUUUUAAAAGUUCAAUCAUGUCAUCAAUGAUUUCAAGACAUGAAGUAGUAAAUGCAUCAACAGUCAACAUUUCUUAUCAAAGUAAUAAUACCACCAUUUAACACUUCCUUUAGACUGAGCACCG